UACGUAGGUGGCAAGCGUUGUUCGGAAUUACUGGGCGUAAAGGGCGCGUAGGCGGUCCUGAUCGUCGGAUGUGAAAGGCCUGGGCUCAACCUGGGAAUGGCAUCCGAUACGGCGGGACUGGAGUGUGGGAGAGGUUGGUGGAAUUCCCAGUGUAGAGGUGAAAUUCGUAGAUAUUGGGAAGAACACCGGUGGCGAAGGCGGCCAACUGGACCACAACUGACGCUGAGGCGCGAAAGCGUGGGGAGCAAACAGG
rnacentral:rRNA from 1 species